rnacentral:rRNA from 1 species
GACGAACGCUGGCGGCGUGCUUAACACAUGCAAGUCGAACGGAAAGGCCUCUUUCGGGGGGUACUCGGGUGGCGAACGGGUGAGUAACACGUGAGUAACCUGCCCUUGACUUUGGGAUAACUUCAGGAAACUGGGGCUAAUACCGGAUAGAAGCUCCUGCUGCAUGGUGGGGGUUGGAAAGUUUCGGCGGUUGGGGAUGGACUCGCGGCCUAUCCGCUUGUUGGUGGGGGAGUGGCUUACCAAGGGUUUGACGGGUAGCCGGCCUGAGAGGGUGACCGGCCACAUUGGGGAUGAGAUACGGCCCCGACUCCUACGGGGGGCAGGAGGGGGGAAGAUUGCACCAUGGGUGGAAGCCUGAUGCAGCAACGCCGGGUGCGGGAGGACGGGCUUCGGGUUGGAAACCGCUUUCGCUCAGGACGAAGCUUUGUGUGACGGUAGUGGGUAAAGAAGCACCGGCUAACUACGUG